rnacentral:misc_RNA from 1 species
AUGACAAUGAACCAUCAGUUGUCUGCCACAUUAGUGAGUUUGUUAUGGAGAAUUUGAUACCCCUGCACAUGAGGAGGGCAAGUAGGCGAGCAGUGUUUUUGGCGUCAUCCAGUCCACAAUGAGCACGCCCUUGCCAUGCUAGGCCUGCCAUCUCCACAGCCUCCUUUAGAUUGCACCUAACACCACCAAAUACCUCACAGAAAGGAACUUUCAAGUUGAUCCACCGAUUAAAGUAAGGGGGCUUCCUGAUCUUCUUAAAUCG